rnacentral:ncRNA from 1 species
UACGUGGACAGAUUUGCAUGCUUGCAACCACGUGAAAAAAUGCUAAAAAUGAA